rnacentral:tRNA from 1 species
GCCGAAGUGGCGGAACUGGCAGACGCGCUAUCUUGAGGGGGUAGUGCCUUACGGGCGUGUGGGUUCGAAUCCCACCUUCGGCACCA